rnacentral:sRNA from 1 species
AUGCACCACGCCCUGUUCCUCCUUCAUCACCCAGCUCCUCCUCCUAGUGUUCAGGACUUAGCUUUAGCCUCCUUCCCCUGGAAGGCCUUCCCUAAUGAAGUUAGGAGCUCCUUCUGUAUAACCAAAGGCACUGCUCACUGGUUUUGCUGGGCACAUUUAUAACCAUUCACUCAAUGUCAUGCUUCUUAGCAGACUGGCCUCAGGCAAAUAAGAAUCUAGUUCAGGAAGUGUAAGGUCAGAUUUCCUCGUUGCCCCGUCUCAUACUUCCUAUUCCUCUUCUGGGCUCUGCCAGAACGGUAACUCCACUCUUGUGGCCUCUGCUACGAACAAACCCUGCUCUCUUCCCUUCCUGCUACCCUAUGGCCUCUUAGGUUUAUUUUGUUCUCAGCAGCCCUCUUGGCUCCGGCUUCUGUUAGCAGCUACACCUUUUCUCGGUAAUAUUUCAAGUUCAACCUCAUCGGGGAGGGUAGCUGUUUGGUUUAGCCUUUGUCCUCUAGCACCUGCCUUUCCUGCAGGGAGGGGCAUUCCCAGCCUUGGAACAGGCCCCAUCACUAAGGCCACAGACAGUGCCAGAGGGAGCUGGGGUCUGUGCAGCCAUUCUUGAAUUCCCCCAGAAUGCCUUGCCUGGCCUUGAGUAAAAGGGAUAGAAGUGAAAAAAGCCUGUUACAAAGCAACAUGUACGAGGUGACAGAUUGACUGGGAUCCCCUCGCACAUCCUCAACAGCUCCCCAUCAGACCGGCAGAUUAACCAGCUGGCCCAGAGGCUGGGCCCUGAGUGGGAGCCCGUGGUGCUGUCUCUGGGACUGUCCCAGACGGAUAUCUACCGCUGUAAGGCCAACCACCCCCACAACGUGCAGUCGCAGGUGGUGGAGGCCUUCAUCCGUUGGCGGCAGCGCUUCGGGAAGCAGGCCACCUUCCAGAGCCUGCACAAUGGGCUGCGGGCUGUGGAGGUGGACCCCUCGCUGCUCCUGCACAUGUUGGAGUGAUGGUGCCUCCAGCAACCGCUGGGGAGUGUGUCCCUGAGUCAUGUGGGCUGAAUCCUGACUUUCACUCAGAGCAGGUGGUUUUUUGUGUAGGUUUGUUUUUUGUUUUUGAUGAUCUUCAGAUGGAAGGAGAAAACAGGGUUUCCACUAGACAUUACUUGAAAGGCCAGAUUACUCAGCAGAUCUCCCAUGUUGGCUCAACAAUUCUUUGUUUUUAAUUGCUUGAAGAUUGCAUUGUUGUAAUUGUUCAGUUUUUAAAUGUGUAAUGGCAUUUUAAUAGACUAGUAAAUCACAGUGGUUCAAAAUAUAUAUCCAUAUAUAUAUCUCAUGUCAUCACAUUACAGGCAGGUGUCUCAUAUGUAAAACAUUUACCUGAAUGUUGUCUGAGGACUGAACUGUGGACUUUACUAUUCAUAAUGAUAAAAUAAUAAAAUGUGAAUUACUAUAUAUAAUGUGCCUCACUCAUGAGAAA